GCCGGGCGCAGUGGCAUACACCUGUAAUCCCAGCAGCUUGGGAGGCUGAGGCAGUAGGAUCGUGAGUUCAAAGCCAGCCUCAACAUAAGCCAGGCAGGCACUAAGCAACUCAGUGAUACCCUGUCUCUA
rnacentral:sRNA from 1 species